rfam:Aspergillus nidulans FGSC A4 chromosome VIII ANcontig1.7, whole genome shotgun sequence.
UGCCUUCUACAGUUCAAAGAAUCACUUUAGAGUAGACGUCCCUCAUUGAGCUCAUCUAAUGAGCCACACCCCCAACCCUUGCUGAUGACUUCUAUGUCCUCGAUGCCCUAAAGUGAAGCCGUGUUUACUCCCGCCUCGACCUUGUCUUCUCCGGUACAAACUGCUUUGGCGGGCUUGUUCCGAGUUGGCGCCUGGUCUAGGGAGUGGUGAUGAUCUUGACCUUGUCGUGGCGUCUUGACUUCGGUCGGCCUGACUUGGUGGGUGUCGAGGAGGUCUGAAAGGC